AGUGUGAUUAUUGGCUCAUAUGAUAAGACUGUGUUUAAUUUAGUAAGAAACUGCCAAACUGUCUUACAAAGUGGCUAUACCAUUUUGCAUUCCUCCCAGUAAU
rnacentral:pre_miRNA from 1 species